rnacentral:RNase_P_RNA from 1 species
GGAGGAAAGUCCGAACACUCAACCUCUUGCUUUAUCAAAAGCGAGGGGUGAAAGCGGCAGUUGCUAACAGCAACCGGGAGCAGCGAUAUCUUGUGUUCUUCGAAGAUCAAGAUAUUGCGAAGCCCAGGGAAAGUGGCACAGAAACUAAACCGCUCUAAUCGCGCUUCACUAUCGUUCCGCGCUCAAAUUUUCAAUUUACAAAUUUUCAAUUUUCAAACCCUUUGAAAAUUUAUUCAUUGAGUCAUUGGAAAUUGUUCAGAAAUUAGAAAUUGAAAAUUGAAAAUUAAGCGCGAAGCGGCAGCGAAGCGCGAUAGGGUAAGGGUGAAAAGUGAGGGAGUAAGAUCCCUCUCUAUUCUAUGGCGACAUAGAUAGCGCUAAACCCUGCCUGGUGCAAGUCUGCGCCUCGUGCUUUUUUAAAAAAGGCGCGGGGAAGACGCUUGAGCGCAAUAGCAAUAUUGCGCCUAGAUAGAUGAUCAUCAUCUUGUCGCGCUUCACUAUCGUUCCGCGCUCAAAUUUUCAAUUUACAAAUUUUCAAUUUUCAAACUUUUUGAAAAUUAAGCGCGAAGCGGCAGCGAAGUGCGAUAGGGUACUAAAUUCGGCUUACAGGCUUGCUUUGAGA